GCCUCCGUAGCUCAGUUGGUAGAGCGUGAGCCUUUUAUGGGACUUCCUCCCUUCCGUUGAAAGCUUAAGGUCCAGGGUUCGAGCCCCUGCGGAGGCG